AUUGAACGCUGGCGGCAGGCCUAACACAUGCCAGUCGAGCGGAUGAAGGGAGCUUGCUCCUGGAUUCAGCGGCGGACGGGUGAGUAAUGCCUAGGAAUCUGCCUGGUAGUGGGGGAUAACGUCCGGAAACGGGCGCUAAUACCGCAUACGUCCUGAGGGAGAAAGUGGGGGAUCUUCGGACCUCACGCUAUCAGAUGAGCCUAGGUCGGAUUAGCUAGUUGGUGGGGUAAAGGCCUACCAAGGCGACGAUCCGUAACUGGUCUGAGAGGAUGAUCAGUCACACUGGAACUGAGACACGGUCCAGACUCCUACGGGAGGCAGCAGUGGGGAAUAUUGGACAAUGGGCGCAAGCCUGAUCCAGCCAUGCCGCGUGUGUGAAGAAGGUCUUCGGAUUGUAAAGCACUUUAAGUUGGGAGGAAGGGCAGUAAGUUAAUACCUUGCUGUUUUGACGUUACCAACAGAAUAAGCACCGGCUAACUUCGUG
rnacentral:rRNA from 1 species